rnacentral:rRNA from 1 species
CCUACGGGAGGCUGCAGUGAGGAAUAUUGGUCAAUGGGCUUACGCCUGAACCAGCCAAGUCGCGUGAGGGAAGACUGCCCUAUGGGUUGUAAACCUCUUUUGUCAGGGAGCAACGCCGGCUACGUGUAGCCGGACUGAGAGUACCUGAAGAAAACGCAUCGGCUACCUCCGUGCCAGCAGCCGCGGUAAUACGGAGGAUGCGAGCGUUAUCCGGUUUUAUGGGGUUUAAAGGGUGCGUAGGCGGAAUGCCAAGUCAGCGGUAAAAUCGCGGGGCUCAACCUCGCUCCGCCGUUGAAACUGGCGUUCUUGAGUGGGCGAGAAGUAUGCGGAAGGCGUGGUGUAGCGGUGAAAUGCAUAGAUAUCACGCAGAACUCCGAUUGCGAAGGCAGCAUACCGGCGCCCAACUGACGCUGAAGCACGAAAGCGUGGGUAUCGAACAGGAUUAGAUACCCCAGUAGUC